AUGCGCCCGCCUGCCGGCGAGGCUCCUCGUGGUGCUGCCAUCGUCGAUGGAGCGCGCGCGAGGAGACCGGCCAUCGACGAGGAGCGCGCCGCGGGCAGGCUGGAGCAUGACCGGAAGCUCUUGGGCGGCGGCGGUCUUCGGCACCGUCCACGCUACGAGCUGCGGCGGUGGCCGGGAUGGCAACCGGAUCGAGCACAGGAGGGCUCAGGCGAGACGAGCAAGGAGGGAAAGGAGGGUCAGCGGUGGGGCAGUGCUCCGGUGGCGAGCUCGCUGGCGGGAGCAGCUCCGGUGGUGGAGUACGCUGCGAGCGAGCAUGUGCGGCGGUGGACGUGA
rnacentral:rRNA from 1 species